UACGUAGGGUGCGAGCGUUAAUCGGAAUUACUGGGCGUAAAGCGUGCGCAGGCGGUGAUGUAAGACAGAUGUGAAAUCCCCGGGCUCAACCUGGGAAUGGCGAUGGUGACUGCAAGGCUAGAGUUUGGCAGAGGGGGGUAGAAUUCCACGUGUAGCAGUGAAAUGCGUAGAUAUGUGGAGGAACACCGAUGGCGAAGGCAGCCCCCUGGGUCAAAACUGACGCUCAUGCACGAAAGCGUGGGGAGCAAACAGG
rnacentral:rRNA from 1 species